rnacentral:rRNA from 1 species
GACGAACGCUGGCGGCGUGCUUAACACAUGCAAGUCGAGCGGAAAGGCCACUUCGGUGGUACUCGAGCGGCGAACGGGUGAGUAACACGUGAGUAAUCUGCCCCUGGCUUUGGGAUAGCCACCGGAAACGGUGAUUAAUACCGGAUAUGACACAUUCUCGCAUGAGUUUGUGUGGAAAGUUUUUCGGCCAGGGAUGUGCUCGCGGCCUAUCAGCUUGAUGGUGAGGUAAUGGCUCACCAUGGCUUCGACGGGUAGCCGGCCUGAGAGGGUGACCGGUCACACUGGGACUGGGCCACGGCCCAGACUCCUACGGGAGGAAGCGGGGGGGAAUUUUGGAAAAGGGGGGGAAGCCUGAUCCAGCACCCCCGGGGGGGGGAUGACGGCCUUGGGGUUGUAAACCUUUUUCAGUACCGACGAAGCGCAAGUGGGGGUAGGAACAGAAGAAGCCCCGCCCAACUACGU